rnacentral:rRNA from 1 species
UACAGAGGGUGCAAGCGUUAAUCGGAGUUAUUGGGCGUAAAGGGUGUGUAGGUGGCACUUCAAGUCGGAUGUGAAAGCCCUGGGCUUAACCUGGGAAUGGCAUUGGAGACUGAAGAGCUUGAGUCGGACAGAGGGUCGUGGAAUUUCCGGUGUAGCGGUGAAAUGCGUAGAGAUCGGAAAGAACACCAGUGGCGAAGGCGGCGACCUGGGUCCAGACUGACACUGAGGCACGAAAGCAUGGGGAGCGAACAGG